GAGAGAGAGAGUAGGGCACGGUGGCGCUUUAGGGGCACUGAAGUAACGGGAGAGACACAACUUCAAGGUCACACGCACGUACUACGGAGGGUGGAAGAGACGAGGGGAGGAGGGGGGGGUGAUAAGGGAAGGGGGAGGGAGUAACGAAGAAACGGGAGGAGGGUUGAUAAAGGAAGGGACCCCCCCCCCUCCCCACCUGUACCUUCACCACUAACCCACUUCCUCUUCGUACUAUACCCUUGAUUAAAAAAAGAAAAGAAAAAAAGAAGAAAGGGAGGAAUGGAGACACGGAAGAAAGAGGGGGGGGGGGAGUGGUGGAGUGGGGAAAGAGUAGGGGAAAUUAGGGAAAGAGGUAAAGAGGACAAGAGAAAUCACAAAGAAAAGAAGUAAUGAAACAGUAGAAGGAGGAGGAGAAAGAAGAGAAGUAAAAUAAGCAGCAGCGAGGAAAAAAAAUAAAGAAAGGAAGUGAAAAUGUAGGAAUAGAAAGAGGAAGAAAAGAAGAAUGAGAAGAAGAAAAUUGACGAUAACAGCAGAAAAGAACAAAAUGAAGGAGGAUGAAGCACAAAUAGAAGGAAGAGGAAGAGAAAGAGUAAAGGGAAAAGAAAGUUAACGAUACCAGCAGAAAUGAAAGAUGGUGAUAAAGCAGGAAUAGAAAAAAGAGAGAAAGAAAAUGAGAAGAGAGUUAACGAUAGAAACAGCAAAGAAAAAAAAAACAGGAAGUAAUGAAUCGGGAACAGAAGGAUGAGAAAGGGGAAGAGAAGAAUAAAAGAGAGGAAUGAAAAAAAAAGGAAAAGAAGAAAGUUAGUGAUUGCAGGAAGAUAGAAAACAAGACAUGAGGCAAUAAAUCAGAAAUAGAGAAAAGGAAAAGAAAGAAGAGAAAGAAAAAAGUUAAGGAAGAGAAGAAGUAUUUUAAGGAUAGCAGCAGAAAAGAAAAAAAGAAGUUGAAGAAAGCGAUAGUGCAGGAAUACAGGAACGCAAGGACAAAGGAAGGAGACGCAGAGCUCCCCCUAACCGCAAAUGACUCACGCUGACUGACUCGGCAAAUGAAUGGAGGCGAGCAAAAGAAAUAGAAAAAAAAUAAAACGGAAGAAAAUUGAUCAAAAUAAACAAACGGAGUAAAGAAAUAGAAAUAGAUAAGCCAAACAUAAGAAGAAAAGAAGGAAAAAAAUAUUAAAAAAAACGAAAAAUAUAUGAAAAACAAAAAACAAACAAGGAAUAACAAUACAACAAAAAUGGUGAGAAAUAGAACGGUUGAAGUAAUAUAUAGUUAGUAAAAGGAAUAACAGGAAAAAUAGCAAGAUAAAAGAAAGAAAGAUCACUAGGAGGCUUGAAAAGAAAUAUAAACAAGAAAUGAAGGAUAAAUAAGAAAAGGAUGAAUGAGCGAAGGAUAUCAGGAGGGAGUGAAGGAUACUAGGAGGGUGUGGAUAAGGAAGUAACUCUGCAAAGGAUGUUAUGAAGGAUAGAAUGAAGGAGAUGGGGAAAAUGAAGGAUGAAAGAGGUACAGAGGAGAGGAAGAAUAAAGAGGCACAAAAGAUGAGAAGAUACAAGCAAUGAACAAGAUGGAAGAUACAGAAAUGAAGAAUGUAAGAUACUGAAGAUAGGAAGAUACAGAUGAUGAAAGAGAAUGAAUGAUACAGAGAAGAUGAAGAAUGAAAGAUAAAGAGGAAGGUGAGAAGAGAUAGUGAAAGAGAAUGAAUGAUAGAGAGAAGAUGAAGAAGGAAAGAUAAAGAGGAAGGUGAGAAGAUAGAUAAUAAAAAAAAUAAAAAAUUGAGAUAAAGGAAGAAAGAUACAGAAGAAAACGAAGGACAAAAACAGAUAUAGAGAGAAUAGAGAAAGAAGAAGGAAAGGACGGAUGGAUGAAAAGAGGAAUAAUAGAGGAAAAGAAGGAAACUGAUAAUAAAAUGAGGGAUGAAAAGUCGAUUAUCAUAAUAGGGAGUAAGAAGCGAUGUAGGAAACUCAAUCACCUGGAACAAAAAAAAAAAAAGGAAAUCUAAUGAACUCGAUCAAGGAAGGAAGUUGAUAAAGAAACGAGAAGACGAGGAGGAGGAGGAAGAAGAAGAAGAAGAAGAAGAAGAAGAAGAAGAAGAAGAAGAAGAAGAAAUUAAACGUUUCGGAAAGAUUAAUCCGAUUAUCUGCAUGAAGGAGGGAAAAUUAGAGAGAGAGAGAAUUUAUAAGACCAGACUGGAGAAAGAGGGAAAAAGAGGAGGAAGGAAGAAUUAGGUGGAAAUGGAAGGAAGUUAAACUAGAAAAGGAGGAAAGAUGAAGAUAAUGAGUGUCAGGUGAAUGAGAAGGAGGAGGAGGAAAGGAGGAACGAUGAAUUGGUGCAGGAGGAAAAAGAAAGAUAGUGAAGACAAACGGAGGUAAUAAAUGAGAAGUAGAGCAGAAGAAGAAGGAAAACGAAAGAAAGAAUGAAAGGAAGAAAACUGAGAAGAAGAAUGAGGAAGUGUAGAAGGAAAACGAGGGAUUGAAAAAUAAAAUAAAGAAAAGAAUAAGUGAAGAAAGAGGAGAUAAGUACAAGAAGAAAACAAUAAAGAAAAGGAAAAGGAGGAGGA